rnacentral:rRNA from 1 species
AUUGAACGCUAGCGGGAUGCUUUACACAUGCAAGUCGAACGAGUGGCGGACGGGUGAGUAAUAUAUCGGAACGUGCCCAGUAGCGGGGGAUAACUACUCGAAAGAGUGGCUAAUACCGCAUAACAUUGGAUCGGCCGAAAUGGGAUUAGCUGGUUGGGUGGGUAAAGGCGCACCAAGGCCACGAUCCUUAGCUGGUAUGAGAGGACGACCAGCCACACUGGGACUGAGACACGGCCCAGACUCCUACGGGAGGCAGCAGUGGGGAAUUUUGGACAAUGGGGGAAACCCUGAUCCAGCCAUCCCGCGUGUAUGAGAAGGCCUUCGGGUUGUAAAGUACUUUUGGCAGGGAAGCGGUAUCUGCAGAAUAAGCACCGGCUAACUACGUGCCAGCAGCCGCGGUAAUUC